UACGUAGGGGGCUAGCGUUGUCCGGAAUCAUUGGGCGUAAAGAGCGCGUAGGCGGCCAGAUAAGUCCGGUGUGAAAGUCAAAGGCUCAACCUUUGAAUGCCGCUGGAAACUGUCUGGCUAGAGUCCGGGAGGGGCGAGUGGAAUUCCUGGUGUAGCGGUGAAAUGCGCAGAUAUCAGGAGGAACACCAAUGGCGAAGGCAGCUCGCUGGAACAGUACUGACGCUGAGGCGCGAAAGCGUGGGGAGCAAACAGG
rnacentral:rRNA from 1 species